rnacentral:rRNA from 1 species
UACGGGGGGGGCAAGCGUUGUUCGGAAUUACUGGGCGUAAAGGGCGCGUAGGCGGUUUGCUAAGUUGGAUGUGAAAACUCUGGGCUUAACCCAGAGCCUGCAUCCAAAACUGGCAAACUUGAGUACUGGAGGGGAAAGCGGAAUUCCUGGUGUAGCGGUGAAAUGCGUAGAUAUCAGGAAGAACACCCGUGGCGAAGGCGGCUCUCUGGGACGGUACUGACGCUGAGACGCGAAAGCGUGGGGAGCGAACAGG